UUGGAGGGCAAGUCUGGUGCCAGCAGCCGCGGUAAUUCCAGCUCCAAUAGCGUAUAUUAAAGUUGUUGCAGUUAAAAAACGCUCGUAGUUGAAUUUCGGGAUUAGUACGUCGGUCGUGCCUUAGGUACGUACUGGUGUUACUGGUUCCUACCUUCUGACGAACCAUCAUGUCAUUAAUUUGGUGUGGUGGGGAAUCAGGACUGUUACUUUGAAAAAACUUAGAGUGUUUAAAGCAGGCUCGCGCUUGAAUACAUUAGCAUGGAAUAAUGAAAUAGGACG
rnacentral:rRNA from 1 species